UACGAAGGGGGCUAGCGUUGCUCGGAAUUACUGGGCGUAAAGCGCACGUAGGCGGAUUGUUAAGUCGGGGGUGAAAUCCUGGAGCUCAACUCCAGAACUGCCUUCGAUACUGGCGAUCUCGAGUUCGGGAGAGGUGAGUGGAACUGCGAGUGUAGAGGUGAAAUUCGUAGAUAUUCGCAAGAACACCGGUGGCGAAGGCGGCUUCCUGGACCGAUUACUGACGCUGAGGCGCGAAAGCUAGGGGAGCAAACGGG
rnacentral:rRNA from 1 species